UACGUAGGGUGCAAGCGUUUGUCCGGAAUUAUUGGGCGUAAAGAGCUCGUAGGCGGUUUGUCGCGUCGGCUGUGAAAGCCCGGAGCUCAACUCCGGGUCUGCAGUCGAUACGGGCAGACUUGAGUGUUGCAGGGGAGACUGGAAUUCCUGGUGUAGCGGUGAAAUGCGCAGAUAUCAGGAGGAACACCGGUGGCGGAAGGCGGGUCUCUGGGCAGUAACUGACGCUGAGGAGCGAAAGCGUGGGGAGCGAACAGG
rnacentral:rRNA from 1 species